rnacentral:rRNA from 1 species
AUGUCAUAUGGAGGCCGAUUAAUUUUGAUUAAUUCGGUGCUCACGAGUAUGCCUAUGUUUCUUUUAUCGUUCUUUCAAGUCCCAGUUGGUGUUAGGAAAAGACUGGACUUUUAUCGAUCGCGUUUCUUUUGGCAAGGUGAUGAUCUAAAAAGAAAAUACAGACUUGCAAAAUGGGAUAUCAUCUGUAGACCGAAAGACCAAGGGGGUCUUGGUAUUGAGAAUCUUGAAGUCAAGAACAGAUGCCUUCUUAGCAAGUGGCUGUGGAAGCUUUCUUUUGAGACUGAUGCCAUGUGGGCCCAAAUCCUUCGCAGCAAGUACCUACAGACAAAGUCCUUGUCUCAGGUCACAGUCAGGCCAAAUGACUCACCGUUCUGGAAAGGCCUGAUGAAAGUCAAACAAUCUCUGUUUAAUAGGACAAAGGUUGUUAUUGGCAACGGCGCUAGUACACGAUUCUGGGAGGAUACUUGGCUCGGUGAGACACCCUUGGCCAUUCAAUAUCCGUCUUUAUAUCGUAUUGUUCAACGACGUGAGGUGUUCGUUGCUACGGUGUUUCAAUCCAACCCCCUUAAUAUUCAGUUCAGACGGUCGUUAGUGGGCAAUCGUUGGGAAGACUGGCUCCGUCUAGUUCGGAGACUAAUGGAUGUCCAUCUUUCUCAACAACCCGAUGAAUUGCGUUGGAAACUGACUAGGACUGGAGUUUUCACGGUUAAAUCAAUGUAUAUUGAUGUGAUUAAUUCGAGCUCCAUUCCUACAUCCAAGCAUGUUUGGGCUGUCAAAGUUCCUUUGAAAAUAAAAGUGUUUAUGUGGUUUGUCCAUAAACAGGUUAUUUUAACCAAGGAUAACUUGCUUAAGCGUAAUUGGACAGGACCUACGAGGUGUAGCUUCUGUGAUCGGGACGAGACGAUCAAGCAUCUCUUUUUUGAUUGCCCGCUUGCUAGAGUACUCUGGCGGAUGGUUCACAUUGCUUUUAAUAUUACUCCACCGAAUUCUGUCACUACGUUAUUUGGGACAUGGCUCACUAGGGUUGAGCCUGAAUUAGCGAGACAUAUUCGGGUUGGAGUUUGCGCUUUGUUGUGGACUAUCAGGACUUGCAGAAAUGAUUUGGUUUUUAACAGAACAUCACGUAUUCAUUUUUUGCAGGUUAUUUUUCGAGCCACGGCCAUGAUCCGUUCAUGGUCGCUACUCACUCCGAUGGUGGCCAGGGAGCAUUUGGUUACUGGAUCUAUCCGCUGGGAGAUGGUAGCUCGGGAUAUCUUCAACCGGUUUGGAUGGCGGUCAUGUAAUAGGAUAGGCAAUUAG